AACGAACGCUGGCGGCAGGCCUAACACAUGCAAGUCGAGCGAAGCCUUCGGGCUUAGCGGCGGACGGGUGAGUAACGCGUGGGAACGUGCCCUUUGGUACGGAAUAGCCCCGGGAAACUGGGAGUAAUACCGUAUGUGGUCGAGAGACGAAAGAUUUAUCGCCAAAGGAUCGGCCCGCGUUGAAUUAGGUAGUUGGGGGGGUAAUGGCCUACCAAGCCGACGAUCCAUAGCUGGUUUGAGAGGAUGAUCAGCCACACUGGGAUUGAGACACGGCCCAGACUCCUACAGGAGGCAGCAGUGGGGAAUCUUAGACAAUGGGGGAAACCCUGAUCUAGCCAUGCCGCGUGAUCGAUGAAGGCCUUAGGGUUGUAAAGAUCUUUCAGUGGGGAAGAUAAUGACUGUACCCACAGAAGAAGCCCCGGCUAACUCCGUGCCAGCCGCCGCGGUAAAAC
rnacentral:rRNA from 1 species